UACGUAGGAUGCAAGCGUUGUCCGGAAUUAUUGGGCGUAAAGAGCGAGCAGGCGGUCAUUCAAGUCAGAUGUGAAAUAUCCGGGCUUAACCCGGAGGGGUCAUUUGAAACUGGGUGACUAGAGUACAGCAGAGGAUAGCGGAAUUCCCGGUGUAGUGGUGAAAUGCAUAGAUAUCAGGAAGAACACCCGUGGCGAAGGCGGCUCUCUGGGACGGUACUGACGCUGAGACGCGAAAGCGUGGGGAGCGAACAGG
rnacentral:rRNA from 1 species